GCAUAUCAAAAAGCGGAGGAAAAGAAACCAACCGGGAUUGCCUUAGUAACGGCGAGUGAAGCGGCAAAAGCUCAAAUUUGAAAUCUGGCGUCUUCGACGUCCGAGUUGUAAUUUGAAGAAGGCGACUUUGUAGCUGGUCCUUGUCUAUGUUCCUUGGAACAGGRCGUCAUAGAGGGUGAGAAUCCCGUGUGGCGAGGAUCCCAGUUAUUUGUAAAGUGCUUUCGACGAGUCGAGUUGUUUGGGAAUGCAGCUCUAAGUGGGUGGUAAAUUCCAUCUAAAGCUAAAUAUUGGCGAGAGACCGAUAGCGAACAAGUACAGUGAUGGAAAGAUGAAAAGAACUUUGAAAAGAGAGUGAAAAAGUACGUGAAAUUGUUGAAAGGGAAGGGCAUUUGAUCAGACAUGGCGUUUGCUUCGGCUUUCGCUGGGCCAGCAUCAGUUUUAGCGGUUGGAUAAAUCCUCGGGAAUGUGGCUCUGCUUCGGUAGAGUGUUAUAGCCCGUGGGAAUACAGCCAGCUGGGACUGAGGAUUGCGACUUUUGUCAAGGAUGCUGGCGUAAUGGUUAAAUGCCGCCCGUCUUGAAACACGGACC
rnacentral:rRNA from 1 species